GACGAACGCUGGCGGCGUGCUUAACACAUGCCAGUCGAACGGUGAAGCGCCUUCCUUUUUGGUGGGUGUGGAUGAGUGGCGAACGGGUGAGUAACACGUGAGUAACCUGCCCCCUUCUUCUGGAUAACCGCAUGAAAGUGUGGCUAAUACGGGAUAUUCUGGGUCUGUCGCAUGAUGGGUCUGGGAAAGAUAUUGUUUCGGUGGGGGAUGGGCUCGCGGCCUAUCAGCUUGUUGGUGGGGUGAUGGCCUACCAAGGCGGUGACGGGUAGCCGGCCUGAGAGGGUGGACGGUCACACUGGGGCAGAGACACGGACCAGACUCCUACGGGGGGCAGCAGUGGGGAAUAUUGCACAAUGGGCGAAAGCCUGAUGCAGCGACGCCGCGUGAGGGAUGGAGGCCUUCGGGUUGUGAACCUCUUUCGCCAGUGAAGCAGGCCUGCCUCGUUUGUGGGUGGGUUGACGGUAGCUGGAUAAGAAGCGCCGGCUAACUACGUG
rnacentral:rRNA from 1 species